AUCUACAAUCUAGUUCUCUCAUUUUAUCCCUCACGCACACCACCUCUGUGUCUCUCUCAAUUCACAUUUUGCAUCCUUCAUUCACAACUCCAGAUACUCUCCCUACUCACGGCUCUCCCUUCCAUCACUCUCUCGAUCAUGAAGCCACAAUUUUAAUUUCUUUUCUUUAUACUACAGAGCCCUUAUUUUCUCCUUCUAAUACACAACAUCAUUUUUCCUCUCUUUUCAUUUCUUUUGCUGCAGCUCACCAAUUCUUUCCACUUAUUCUUCCUCUCUCUCAACGUGCCAACCCACACCAUCUUCUCCUUCCUCGGCAGCACCCUCAUAUCACCAUCAAUUUUCAUCUUCUCACCAUGGCUUCACUCAAGCACCACUCUACCACCGUCAUCUUCAUCUUCUCAUUUUAUGGGUACGAAUAACGGGAGGGCUUGGCGACGAAAUCAAAGAACAAAAAGGAAGCGAACCGACACAAGAAAGCAAGGAUGUGAUUGGAUUGGAAUUGCAGUUUAGGAAGGAUAUUAGCUAAGGCAACGGAGAAUCUUCGAUGAAGCUUAACCUUUGUGCGAGUGGAGAGGAGGACUUGAAGACCUGUGGAAGACUCGAAGAUUAGAGUCGGGUGUAGGGCUAAAGCCUUGGGUUAGAGAGCUUACCGUUAUUGGUUUAAGUUUGCAUAAUGAUUUUAGAAAUUUAUAUUUGGGGUUUCGGGUACUCGCCUUGUUCAAGGUUUGAUGUAAAUUUAUUUACAGUUGAGAGUAUGCAUGACAUGUUUUGGAAAUACUUUGAGAAGAAAAAUAUAUACUCGCGUUUAUAAAUCA